ensembl:lncRNA
AACCACCUGACAAAUUUAAACAAUAUAGGCAUGAGACGGAGGGGAAACUAGGAGACAGAACUGGCAAUAAAUUUGAGGUCACACAAGGAGAGUGAUGGAGCCUGUAUGUUCACUGUGGACUCAGAAGCCACUGGGCUUUGUCAUGUUGCCCUCUGCCCCCACAGUCCCAUAAUAGAGAAAGUGACUGAGCCCUGGAAGUUACAUCAUUUAAAUAUCUUGAGAGUAUAAGAGGUGGAAGCAAUUUCUACCAGCUGGGUGGAGACAACAUCGCUAAUUCUUGAGAGAUGUGGAGACUGUGUUCCAGGAAGAGGGAAGACCUUGAGUGAGUCCCUGGAGGUGAGAGAACAGAAAUCCUUUUGUCGCUCCCCAAGGAUGCAGUGAAAGCCUCCGUCCUCGCUGGUGCCAUGAUGCGUAGCCAUGGUGGAUCAUGCCUAUGGUUCUGGUCUCCACCUUCUCCACAGUAGCUGGGUGCGAGCCUCCUGAACCUUCAGGACUCUCACUGCCCCUGCUCAUUACCAUGCCCCCAUCCCUCCGCAAGCUGCCUCUCAAACAUUAGGCCUCCAGUAGUUAUUUGUGGAAUAAAUGAGUAAAAGAAGCAAAACGGCAUGCCCCGCUUCCUUCUGGGCACUUUCCUGCUCCUGCUGUCCUGAGACUUUCCUUUCCUAAUUAGCACGUUCUGCUGCAGCCACGCCCACCUGCCUGCUGUCCUGACCUGAGGGCGCUCACUCCUUCCUUUGAAUCCCCUCUAACCAGAAGGCUCCUGCCAUUAUUUGUACCUCACUCUUUAUCCCUUUUGAGAACAGUCUUUAAGUCUUUCCUGACCUCUCUGCUACUUCACCAUGUGGAUUCAUUCUUCUGUUCUCCAAAAGUACCUUCUAGAACCCUUUGUCCUAGUAGUGACAUUACUGUAUUGUGAUCAUGUGAGCACUAGGCUGCCUGUCCUAGUAGACUAUGAGAACUCCUGAGGGAGGAAAGCUGACAUUACCCACUGUUGUCUCCAACACAUUAAGACAUCUUUCAAUGCCAGAGUCUAGGUUUUAAGAAGAAAUAGAUUAUUGACAGCAAAAGCCUGGGAUUCUAUGUUUCUAUAAGGACAAUAUAAAUUAUUUGUGUUCCUUAUUAUACCUUUAAUACCUUGGCAUUGGCAUCAUUCCAUAAAAAAUGCCUUAUAUAUAGUAGAGGUAGAGCAUCACUAAUCUGAAAAUGCAAAAUCCAGAAUUCUCCAAAAUGCAACCAUUUGGAGCAUGGACAUGAGGUAGCGAUACCAUUGCUAUCUGAUGGUUCAAUGUACACAAACUGUUUCAUGCACAAAAUUAUGUAACAUAUUGUAUAAAAUUACCUUCAGCCUACAUAUAUAGGGUGUAUAUGAGACAUAUAUGAAUUUCAUGUUCAAACUUGGGUCUCAUCCCUAAGAUAUCUCAUUAUGUAUAUGCAAAUAUUCCCAAAUCUGGAAAAAAUCUGAAAUCAGAAACACUCUGGUCCCAAGCAUUUUGAAUAAGGAAUAUUCAGCCUGCAAUUGUAUCCUAACAUUACGAUUGAAUACAUCUUUUU